rnacentral:lncRNA from 1 species
UUUGCCGUCUAAAUAAAAUUUUACGCUUCGUUUUCGAAUAGACUUAUUGUUUUCUUUUUACGUCCAUGUUACGUACAAUUUUAAGGCAUAGACUUUGCUCGACAUUUUGAUAAUAAUAAUUGUAUUUCACGUAUUACUUUCUGUUUUAUUUAGACUAUUGAGCUGUCCUAAAAGACUAUUAGGCUGUCCAGGAAGGAUACAAUUGCAAACAUUUUUGCUGUCGGUGCAAUUAUUACUGAGCGGGUGCAGACUUAAGAAUACCUUUCCUGGUGGGAAGACGUCCUCAGUUAAUUCUGGAUCGGGUGCAAACUUAAGAAUUCCUUUCCUGGCGGGAAGACGUCCUCAGUUAAUUCUGGAUUCGACAGGUUGCUUUCCACGCGAUGGGCGGCCAAGGCGUGAGCCGACGUCGGCCCUAAGAGGUAAAAGCCGGAAGCCUCGCUAAAGAUGACAAAGGAACAACGAACCGCGGACCGUGACUCAAGUCACGUAUCACCCUCAAUAAGAGAGAUGUACAUUACCGCAGAUCUCUUGCUCUCGAGCUGUGAAUGCAGGAGCGAAAGUACAUGUGCCCGAAUAGCCUGACUUUUCGAUAAAACUUAAUCUGCGCCUCCUACAAUUACGCUUUUGCUCGUGCAAUCAAUGGCUGUCUGGUGAAUUAUUUGCCUCCCCCCGGUUAAUUCAGGGAACAAUGUUAUUAAUACCGUGGCGUAUCAAAGUUGUGUAUACGUCACGUAGAUGGAAUGAAAUAACACCGGUGGACGACAAAGACGGAUUUGCAAGAAAAUAUCUCGGGUAGGGAAUUCCCGGCUCGUGUCCCGGGAAUGCUUUUAUAAAUUUUCUCUUUAAUUCGUAUUUUCCAUACCGGAGUGCGAUCGUGCGGACAGUAAUUUCCGAAGUACGUAAUACCGUAAAGAUCGAGAAAAUUGCGUCAGAGAGGCAAGGUCUCACAAAAAUGGCUAAGGACUCGUAAUUGGUAACAUGCGUGAUGGAAACGUGAUUAAGUAAUGCCGGAGAAUUUUUCUUCCUAUAUAUUGUUAAUGGGUAAUCGCGGGAACUGUUGCCAACUGUUGUUCCAGUAAUUUGUUCUUGCCGCUCGACUUUGUUUACAGGGGAGAUCGUGAGCCACGCGCGGUGAAUUAAGGCCCUUUUUUUACUUUGGAUAAUUUAAAUAUCCGUCGACACGGUGAGGGAAUAAAAUUUCGUGGCUUAUUCCGCUUCCGAGGAUUAUUUCGUCAUGCUAUCUUAUCAGUGAUAUAUGAAAUAAUUUACGCUGCACGCCGGUAUCAGGAUGUCCUCCCCCGUGCCGUCAUGCAGAAAUCCAGGAAAAUACGUCUUUGACUGGUUAUUUCUGCGCAUUUUUUUUUUCCAUCGGAGGCCCUCUUGACGGCUUAACGAGACAACGUGCAAUAAAUUUGAAGUGCCAAGUGCAGGAAUAACAAAUACUUGAAAAUGAUUCCAAGGCCAUGGGAUUGAAAAAUAUCGCGGCAAUGAAAACAAGCAAUGAAAAGUUCACUUGAAAAGCAUUACAGCUGAUCUUGAAGACUAUCGAUGAAGAAAGAGUUCGUUAGCUUUGUAAGGUGAAUCUUAUCUAAUAGGACUUCCAACAUGACAGUGCACGAAUCUGAGCGAGUAAUGCACUUCUAUUUUUAUAGCAAUAAAACAUGACGUUGCAGGAACAGGGACAAAUAGAGGAUUAAUGUUUGUCUGGCAGUGAAAUGUUGGGAAAUUGGAACAGUACGAGACCCUUUGCAAAAAUAUUUCAAGGGACGAAUACUUCUCUAUUUAUUGUCAAUUGCACAUGAAAUGUUUGAAAGGAUCAGUGAAAUUAAUUGUAAAAAAUUAGCAAGAAUGAAAUGUUACAAGUUAUACGCGAAAUGUUCGUUAUUAUUACUUGAAUAUGCGUUAAGAUUUGACUUUUAGUUAGGUAUUUUCCUAUGUUGACGUUUAAAGUAAACACAACUGAGACGUUGGACAUUUAUAACAGCAAUAUAUAAAUCAUUCUUGUGAUUUAUCGUCUUGAGUUAUGUGUUGAAUUGUUAUUAGAACUUGCGCUUUUUACCAAUUUAUGGGGACACAAUUAUGAUUUUGCUUCA